rnacentral:tRNA from 1 species
ACCUGGCUGGCUCAGUCAGUAGAGCAUGAGACUCUUGAUCUCAGGGUUGUAAGUUUGAGGCCCACGUUGGGUG